CACGUAGGGCGCAAGCGUUGUCCGGAAUUAUUGGGCGUAAAGAGCUCGUAGGCGGUCUGUUACGUCUGCUGUGAAAACCCGGGGCUUAACCCUGGGCUUGCAGUGGAUACGGGCAGACUAGAGGCAGGUAGGGGAGAAUGGAAUUCCCGGUGUAGCGGUGAAAUGCGCAGAUAUCGGGAGGAACACCAGUGGCGAAGGCGGUGGCCUGGACCGAUGCUGACGCUGAGGCGCGAAAGCGUGGGGAGCGAUCCGG
rnacentral:rRNA from 1 species